GAUGAACGCUAGCGACAGGCUUAACACAUGCAAGUCGAGGGGCAGCAUGAUUUGUAGCAAUACAGAUUGAUGGCGACCGGCGCACGGGUGAGUAACGCGUAUGCAACUUACCUAUCAGGAGGGGGAUAGCCCGGACGAAAGUCGGAUUAACUACCCCAAUAAAACGAGGGGUCCCGCAGUGGGAAUUAUUUAGUUAAAGAUUCAUCGCUGAUAGAUAGGCAUGCGUUCCAUUAGGCAGUU
rnacentral:rRNA from 1 species